AUCUACAGCCACACCACCCUGAACUUGCCUGAUCUCAGAAGCUAAGCAUGGUAGGGCCUGGUUAGUACUUGGAUAGGAGAAUAUCAUAAUACUAGUAUUGUUCACU
rnacentral:rRNA from 1 species